rnacentral:rRNA from 1 species
UACGUAGGUGGCAAGCGUUAUCCGGAUUUAUUGGGCGUAAAGGGAACGCAGGCGGUCUUUUAAGUCUGAUGUGAAAGCCUUCGGCUUAACCGGAGUAGUGCAUUGGAAACUGGGAGACUUGAGUGCAGAAGAGGAAAGUGGAAUUCCUAGUGUAGCGGUGAAAUGCGUAGAUAUUAGGAGGAACACCAGUGGCGAAGGCGACUUUCUGGACAGUAACUGACGUUGAGGCACGAAAGUGUGGGGAGCAAACAGG